rnacentral:rRNA from 1 species
CUGCCGCGUGAAUGAUGAAGGCCUUAGGGUUGUAAAGUUCUUUCCCGGAGAAGAUAAUGACGGUACCUGCAGAAAAAGCACCGGCUAACUACGUGCCAGCAGCCGCGGUAAUACGUAGGGUGCAAGCGUUAUCCGGAAUUAUUGGGCGUAAAGAGCUCGUAGGCGGUUUGUCGCGUCUGCUGUGAAACCCCGAGGCUCAACCUCGGGCCUGCAGUGGGUACGGGCAGACUAGAGUGCGGUAGGGGAGAUUGGAAUUCCUGGUGUAGCGGUGGAAUGCGCAGAUAUCAGGAGGAACACCGAUGGCGAAGGCAGAUCUCUGGGCCGUAACUGACGCUGAGGAGCGAAAGGGUGGGGAGCAAACAGGCUUAGAUACCCUGGUAGUCCACCCCGUAAACGUUGGGAACUAGUUGUGGGGUCCAUUCCACGGAUUCCGUGACGCAGCUAACGCAUUAAGUUCCCCGCCUGGGGAGUACGGCCGCAAGGCUAAAACUCAAAGGAAUUGACGGA